rnacentral:rRNA from 1 species
CAGCCGCCGCGGUAAUACCAGCCCCGCGAGUGGUCGGGACGGUUAUUGGGCCUAAAGCGCCCGUAGCCGGCCCGGCAAGUCCCUCCUUAAAGCCUCGGGCCCAACCCGAGGACGGGGGGGAUACUGCCGGGCUAGGGGGCGGGAGAGGCCGGCGGUACUCCCGGGGUAGGGGCGAAAUCCGUUAAUCCCGGGAGGACCACCAGUGGCGAAGGCGGCCGGCUGGAACGCGCCCGACGGUGAGGGGCGAAAGCCGGGGGAGCGAACCGGAUUAGAUACCCGGGUAGCCCCGGCUGUAAACGAUGCGGGCUAGCUGUUGGGCGGGCUUAGAGCCCGCCCAGUGGCGCAGGGAAGCCGUUAAGUCCGCCGCCUGGGGAGUACGGCCGCAAGGCUGAAACUUAAAGGAAUUGGCGGG